rnacentral:tRNA from 1 species
AUCUCAAUAGCUCAGUGGUUAGAUCACUGGCACGAUACGCCAGAGGCCCUGGGUUCGAGUCCCGGUUGAGACU